GCCAUAAAAAAUUCCCCGCAGCGCCGGGCGGGCACGCGCACGCCCGCCGUCUACGUCGUCGUAGCGGACGGAGCCGCACGGCUCGAUCCCGGGGGCGGGGCUGUCAGGCAAAGUGCACAAGCGACUCGGUGAAGAGAGACUUCUGCUGGAGGGAAUGGCUGCCUCCUCGUCCUCAUCUUCAGCUGGUGGGGUCAGUGGCAGUUCCGUCACCGGAUCUGGCUUCAGUGUUUCAGACCUGGCCCCGCCACGGAAAGCUCUGUUCACCUACCCCAAAGGAGCUGGAGAGAUGUUAGAAGAUGGCUCUGAGCGAUUCCUCUGUGAGUCGGUGUUCAGCUAUCAAGUGGCUUCCACGCUUAAACAGGUGAAGCACGAUCAGCAAGUUGCCCGGAUGGAAAAACUGGCCGGCUUGGUGGAAGAGCUGGAGGCUGAUGAGUGGCGGUUUAAACCCAUCGAGCAGUUACUGGGGUUCACACCCUCUUCGGGUUGAUGUCGCCUGCACAGUGGCCCCUAAGGCACAGCCACCCAGAGAUUGACAGCUGUCCUGGGAGCCGCACGUCGGAGUUCACAUCCAUGCUUGGUUCCUCUGUUUCUAUUAAUAGGCCACAACUGCUCCUCUGCAUCUCCAGCCCUGCUGACAGGACCCUGCCUACUUUUUGAAGAUGCACUGUGUCUCUGCACCUUUCUUGGCCAUUGUCUCCUCCAUACUUUGGGCUAGAAAUGGACCGUCUGACUCGACUCUGAUCUGUGCACUCAGUGUGGGCCAGUAACUAGCAAGCCUUAGUUACCCCUUUCUCUGCGUGCAAACUGCAUAAUAUCCUCCAACACACACCAUGAAGAGGAACUUGAAGCCUAGAGCAAGCCAGACAGCUAAGAUCAACCCCAAAGCUGAGACUUAAAACAUCCUACUCUAGUCCAGUGCCCCCAACCCUAAACCUUGUACAAAGAAAGUGUCUAGGGCUGGGAAGAUGCCUCAGUCAGGAGAGCGCCUCUCAAGCACAAGGGCCUGAGUGUAAGCUCCAGAACCCACAUACAAGCCAGGCAUGG